AUUGAACGCUGGCGGCGUGCCUAACACAUGCAAGUCGAGCGGUAACAGGUGUAGCAAUACAUGCUGACGAGCGGCGAACGGGUGAGUAAUGCUUUGGAAUCUUCCCAGUAGUGGGGAAUAACCAGUCGAAAGAUUGGCUAAUACCGCAUACGUCUGUAAAGGGAAAGCGGGGGAUCGCAAGACCUCGCGCUAUUGGAUGAGCCAAAGUCGGAUUAGCUAGUGGUGGGUAAUGGCCUACCAAGGCGACAAUCCGUAGCUGGUCUGAGAGGACGACCAGCCACGCCGGAACUGAGACACGGUCCGGACUCCUACGGGAGGCAGCAGUGGGAAUAUUGGACAAUGGGGGAAACCCUGAUCCAGCGACGCCGCGUGUGUGAAGAAGGCCUGCGGGUUAGUAAA
rnacentral:rRNA from 1 species